rnacentral:rRNA from 2 species
AGUAACACGUGGGCAACCUGCCUGUAAGACUGGGAUAACUCCGGGAAACCGGGGCUAAUACCGGAUAAUUCUUUCCCUCACAUGAGGGAAAGCUGAAAGAUUGGUUUCGGCUAUCACUUACAGAUGGGCCCGCGGCGCAUUAGCUAGUUGGUGAGGUAACGGCUCACCAAGGCAACGAUGCGUAGGGGAAAAAGAGGGUGAUCGGCCACACUGGGACUGAGACACGGCCCAGACUCCUACGGGAGGCAGCAGUAGGGAAUCUUCCGCAAUGGACGAAAGUCUGCGGACACGCCGCGUGAGUGAGGGUUUUCGGAUCGUAAAACUCUGUGUUAGGGAAGAACAAUACCGGAGAACGCCGGACUUGACGUCCUUCCCC